GUACCUACUGUAGGGAUAAAUUAUGUAAAAAGAGUAAAAACAUGUUUGAAUGACACAAAGUCAGCCCUUUGCUCGUCAAACCCGCCUUCGACAAUUUGCCAAUUUGCAUAAACCCCUCUAAUAUUUGACCUAAAAGAGCUGUGGCGGCUCCGCUUGAGUGGUAAUGCUGUCUGUGCAUCCACACCACUGACCACGUCUGAGGGAACAGACUCUGCUCUGCUCGCGGCGGUCAACGCGCCUGUCCUUUUUUCACAGUGGAGAGAACACAGGGAAAAAAUGAGGAAAAGAGAGGAGAAACCAGAUCAGGAAACGCUGCAAAUCAAGCUUAAACCCACAUGAAGGCCAUGGCUCAAUGAGUGAACCAUCACGCAAUGGCUCUCACCUGAACAGACUUGUAUUUUUAUGCCACUGAGUGGUUUGAACAGGCAGUAAGAUGAAAUGAUGGUUGGAACGGACCGAUACAGUAGCUCCAAUGAUGUAGAUGUAAUGCUGUGAAUGACCUUCUGUCAACCCUCAGCCUGUUCCAUCAGCCAACAGCAUCUUCCCUACAGACAAAUAUUAAAGGUCUAGACAGGAAUGACAGAGACUGAGGAGGACCUUACAGCCAGAGCAGAAAGAAAGGUAAUAGAAUAGGUAAUCAAAAACAUGGCCUAUCUAUCAAAUCCCAUUCUCUCCAAUACAAUCACUUUUGUUUGGACCUAAUCAUAAAGAAGAAGCAGAUAAGUCUGAUGGUGGAGAAGCAAAGCCUUAAAAAAGUUUUAUUCAGGCAGGAUUAAAAUAAGAGGCGCAAACACUCAACAAACAGUUAUCUCACUUCAGGGCAAGCCUGCAAUCGUUUCCAAGUAUCAUUUUGCAAGUUUGAGCCAGUAACCAAAGUAGUAUAAAGGAUAGUUUACCCAAAAAAGAACCUUCUGUAACCAUUUAUGCACCUUCAUGUUGUUCCAAACCCAUAUUUUCUUUUUUAGCAGUUCACACUGCUUUGUUCUGUAUAAUGACUGGGACCUUUCAUGCUUCAAAAAUGCUGAAAAAGCUCCAUAAAAGUAACAUUGAAGUAGUCCAUUCAUCUUUGUGCGCUAAAUUCCGAGUAUUCUGAAGUAAUUCAAUAGGUUUGUUUUCAGAAGAGAGCAAAAUUUAAGUUUCCCUCUACACCAGCUCUCAACUAUUUAAAAAAAAAAAAAAAAAAAGAUGUUUUAAUAUAUAUUUUGAUAUGGUUAAUAAUGAAUAAUUAUAUACAUUUCUUUGUUUGGGCAAUAUUUCAUAUAAUAAAUUAUAUUUUGACAUGGAAGUAAGCAGACAUGGAUGGAGACCCUAUAGCAAGCGACCCCUUAUUUAUUUAUUUAUUUAUUUAUUUUUUAUUCAUUUAUUCAUUUACUUAUUUUCAGAGUGGUAUUAUUUUGUGAUUGGCAUGUAUACAGUGUGGUUAGGAAGAUCUCUCUCCCUUCUUUUUUUUUUUUAAACUUGGAAUUACAUCAAAGUAUAGAAGUACCGUAAAUAAUAACAAAAAAGGGGAAAAAAUUUGUCUACGAACACAGAAUAUUAUGCGAAUUGUAUUGAAUUCUAAGACAAGAAAAAGCAAAUAAAAAAAAAAAUAAUACAGUUUUUAUUUCAGUUAAAGCUACAGUUCGUAACUUUUUUUUGGUUAAAAAUGAUCCAAAAUCAAUUUUUGAGCAAAUACAUAAUCAGCCAGUGUUCAAAACUAUCUCCUUACCUUAGCCCAAUUCACAACGGUAAGCUUGUAAUAAUGUUUUUUAAUCUGAGUGGUACUGGUGGGUUUUCAUGGGAAAUUCGAGCAUACCGCUAUUCAUCUUUGCGUCAUUACGUCACGUCUGUUUACAUAAAGAAGGAGUCCCAGCUAGUAGGCUAUAUCGAAUGUGAGGAUGCUGCAGGAGACACAUCAUUUAUAGCCUUUUCUCACAGCAAACUUAUCAUGUCAGAAAAGCAAAACAUAUGGAGCCGGUUAAGCAAUGCAAAGUCCAAAAUAUAUUUGUUUACACAUUGUGCACUUUGGUAAAAGCAUUUUGAGAUCAUAAUAUAAUAUUGUGCAAGGAGAUGUGAAAACAAGUCUUUAUUAAUCCAUAAUCUGACCCUGUAAUCAUGAAAACGAUUUAAAUUGCUUGCUGUUUUACUGCCUCUAGUGGUCAUUUCUGUUGGAAACUGCAGUGAUAUGUACGUAUAGGUACGUAUUUUGUGACUUGCAAAAAUGUUCCCACAAGUACAUCUUUCCAUGAGACCAGUUUGGCUAAUACACACUAAAUACACGUAGUUAUGCAAUGCUGUUGUUGUUAACAUUAACUAUUUGAGAUCAAAGUAUAACAAUAAUAAUAAUUUGCACAGUUUGAUGUGAUAUGAGCUAAGUGAUCGUUAGAUUUAAACUUCAUUGGUAGCACAAUUUAUUGUGUAAUGCUUUUUUUUCUCAGUUGGUCAGAAAAAAGCGGUUACUUACUUGUUCAGAUGACAUUUUCUGGUGAAAAUUCUUAUUUUGGUCAUACUUUUCUAAGACUACAAUCUGUGAUUAUGAAGUACAGUAUAAAUCAGUGCGGUGACUGACAGCAAACAUUCUCAAAACAUUAGAUUCAUUCGCACUGAGGAGCCGUGUCGAUGCACAACCCACGUAAAGAUGAUAAUUCCGCAAAUAACUGCAAUUGCAGGUUUCAAACAGAGAUGGCGACAAAGAGGCAAAACUUACAGACUGCAGCUUUAAAUCUCAGCCUGAAAAAAGCAGUAUCAACAUUCUGCAACAAAUCUUUUGAUCUGUUGUGUUCCACAGAAGAAAGAACAUUCAGAUUUGGAUUGCAAUGAGGGUGAAUAAAUAAUGACAGAUUUUUCAUUUUAUGGGUGAACUACAGGCAUCCUUUUAAAACUGUGCAAACACAGCCUUGCACAACUGUAAUCUGUGAGCUGUAAUUCUGUUUUUGCAUUCACUUUUUUCUUAAAAAGCUGUGAUCAUCUACCACAUCCACAACAGAUAAGGAAAGGCAGCAAAUGUUUGACUGGAAUAAAUAGCUUUGGACCUCCUGUGAGGAAGAGAGAGCCAUUUGAGCCACACGUUCAUUUCCGAGAGCAAAAAAAGAAACGGGAAUUGAGACUCUUUCAGAUGAUACACCAGACGAGGUGUAUGAGUGGGGCUUUUGUACGGAAACCUGCUUGCGAUUAUUGGCUGUGGGUGGAAAUAUGAUUAAGUGCACUCAGAGUUCAGAGGCAAUAAGCGCCCACAUUUGUGUUGCUUCAAGAAUAUGGUCUCACAACCGCUCUGAAGGCAAUGUGAUUUACUGUAUGAAAGGUCAAGUUCAGACUGAAGAGAAGGAAUAUAUUAUACAAGUAAAGUAACCUUAUUAAGUAUGAGUAAUGAGCGUACACACACCUACUGACAUUCAUUCUUUUAAAGGGGCACAGCUAUACAGAUUGCAGGACCAUUAAAAGUCAAAUGCACAAUUCAGGAAGACUUCAAUUCUCUAAUUAUCUAUUGUGCACAAUUAUAUCAUAAUUAGUUCUCAUUUAUAACGAUACAAGUGCGUCUAAGCCCUAUUUAUGAAUCUUUAUGACCAUCAUGAGGGGAUCUAAAGGGCUGGUCACUCAAUGUAGAGAAUGUGCUAUAGUUUCAUUUGGGGAAAAACAGGAUAUAAUCAGGCCAGAUGAUGUCAUUAUGUCAUUGAUUUGUAUAAGCCUUGAAAUUACACUGCUUGAGAGAAGGGUAUUGACACAUAGUGUAAUUAUGAGGGUUUUUAGCUUGAUGACCGAAUUGAUUAUCGCAUGGAUUUUGGCACUGCAUUAGCAAGCUCUGGCAAAACUUCAUAAACAAUUUCCUUUGCUGUCGCACUGGAAGUCAGACUCCAGAAUCCCCUUGAAAUUAACAGAAUAUUAAAGUAAACAUAUCAAAUGUCAUUACUUUCAAAUAAAACGCCAUUAAAACUCUAGAUGAAUUACCCAUCUUAAUUCAAAUCUUGCAAAGUUGUGUUCACACUGGGUCAAUGUCUGAAUCCCUCCUCACAUACUUUGAUGCUUUCCAUGGAAAAACAUUGUAAUUGAUCCUCAUAUUGCCCCUUAACUCACAAGAUUUGUUCUUCAUGCUUUCAGUUUCAUGGGGCCGGUGCUCAUAUUAUUUAUUACUGCAGGUCUUGGUUUCUGAUUAAUUCCAAGCUAAUUGCAACCUGUGCAUGAGCUAUUGAUUUUUGAGACAUAACUUUGCCCCUGGCUGCAAUUUAGUAAUUGUGCAAAGACAAAUGUGCCUAAAACCUAAUCUGAAACUCAGAAAAAUUAUGACCAUCAUCGCCUAAUAUUUUAGAGGCUGGUAAACACAGUGACUCUGACAAAAAGCUGCCCUGCUUUCAUAAUCCAUAAACCCACCGUUACUGUAAAUAAAUAAAUAAAAAAAAUAAAAUGAAAUAAAUACAUAAAAUAAAAUAGGGCAUCAACUGAUUUUACAAGCCUGGGGCCCUAGAGAUGCGAAAA